UCUACCUCAAGAUGCACUUCGCGAAUUUAACGAGAUCGUGAUCGCUUUCAAGUAAUGGCAGGGAGCAGUUACACUUGAUUUCUUGGACACUCCAUAUACUUGAGGUCGCGUGGGCGAAGAGGAAUUGUUCGCCUACGGAACAUUUCAGCGUGAGCCGUCAGUUUGUCAGCGAUUACCACCUAGACGAAGAGGAACCGGAAGACGUGAAACUGUCUGUAGAAACAAAUACAGUUAUCCGUUUUGAAGUGCACAUCGAGAUAUGUGACAACAUGUUGCGAAAACGAUCGUCGAAUCGU